rnacentral:rRNA from 1 species
GGUUUAAAGGGUGCGUAGGCGGGACUUUAAGUCAGUGGUGAAAUACUUAAGCUUAACUUAAGCACUGCCAUUGAUACUGGAGACCUUGAGUGCGAUUGAGGUAAGCGGAAUAUGUAAUGUAGCGGUGAAAUGCAUAGAUAUUACAUAGAACACCGAUUGCGAAGGCAGCUUACUAAGUCGCAACUGACGCUGAGGCACGAAAGCGUGGGGAUCGAACAGGAUUAGAUACCCUGGUAGUCCACGCCGUAAACGAUGAUUACUCGUUGUUGGCGAUAUACCGUCAGCGACUGAGCGAAAGCAUUAAGUAAUCCACCUGGGGAGUACGACCGCAAGGUUGAAACUCAAAGGAAUUGACGGGGGCCCGCACAAGCGGAGGAACAUGUGGUUUAAUUCGAUGAUACGCGAGGAACCUUACCCGGGCUUAAAUUCAGUAUGACCGUUCGUGAAAGCGGACUUUCCUUCGGGACAUAUUGGAAGGUGCUGCAUGGUUGUCGUCAGCUCGUGCCGUGAGGUGUCGGGUUAAGUCCCAUAACGAGCGCAACCCUCAUCAUUAGUUACCAGCGAGUUAAGUCGGGGACUCUAAUGAGACUGCCACCGUAAGGUGCGAGGAAGGUGGGGAUGACGUCAAAUCAGCACGGCCCUUACGUCCGGGGCUACACACGUGUUACAAUGGUCGGUACAGAGGGCAGCUACUGAGUGAUCAGAUGCAAAUCUCGAAAACCGGUCUUAGUUCGGAUUGAAGUCUGCAACUCGACUUCAUGAAGUUGGAUUCGCUAGUAAUCGCG